GGCUGAGUAGCUCAGUUGGCUAGAGCAGUCGGUUCAUACCCGGCGUGUCGGGGGUUCAAAUCCCUCCUCAGCUACCA
rnacentral:tRNA from 1 species